GACGUAGGGCGCGAGCGUUGUCCGGAUUUAUUGGGCGUAAAGAGCUCGUAGGCGGCUUGUCGCGUCGUCCGUGAAAACCUGGGGCUCAACUCCAGGCUGCGGUCGAUACGGGCAGGCUAGAGUUCGGUAGGGGAGGACUGGAAUUCCUGGUGGUAGCGGUGAAAUGCGCAGAUAUCAGGAGGAACACCGGUGGCGAAGGCGGGUCUCUGGGCCGAUACUGACGCUGAGGAGCGAAAGCGUGGGGAGCGAACAGG
rnacentral:rRNA from 1 species